rnacentral:rRNA from 1 species
UACUCCUACGGGAGGCAGCAGCCGCGGUAAUACUCCUACGGGAGGCAGCAGUGGGGAAUAUUGCACAAUGGGCGAAAGCCUGAUGCAGCGACGCCGCGUGAGGGAUGACGGCCUUCGGGUUGUAAACCUCUUUCAGUAAGGAAGAAGCGAAAGUGACGGUACUUGCAGAAGAAGCGCCGGCUAACUACGUGCCAGCAGCC